rnacentral:lncRNA from 1 species
AUGAGAUAAGCAAUCAGCUUCUACUUUUCUGUUGAAGCGUCAAUAGAAUUUGAAGCUGUUAGAACUUCGUGAUCUAGAUCAGUCGAUCACAUUGAUCAUCUUGAAGAACGGAUUACUAAGAAAUAUUAUUUGCUACUCACUAGAGAAUACUUAUCUCUGCCACUUCACUGAUAUAUUGGCUCGGAUGAAAAAAGUACAUGAGGGCGACGAAGUAUUUAAGAAUGAGCCCUUGGCAAGUAUGGUUGCUAAAAAAAGAAAGAAGAAAGGUUGAAAUCCCUGCCAAAGGAUCCGCAGCGUUUCCAUUCUUCACCUAGAGGUCGGAGGUCCCGAACUCUCUCAUAGAACCCCCGAUAGAAAGAUAAUUUUAGAAGAGAGCGGUGUGUAUCUCCGCCUAGGAGGUUCACGAACUACAUCUCAUUGAACACUGCCCGAGCUCAGAUGCUGAUGGAGAUCAAGGAUUGGAUGUUCGGAUGGGGAAGCUGCGGUCUAACCUAGGUCGGCGGAACUAUAAUAAAUAUUGCCUAUAACACCACAAUCAUGAUCAUGAUACCGAAGACUACAUUCAGCUUUGGGAUGAGAUAGAAAAGCUCAUUUAGUGAGGACGCCUGGAUCAGUUUAUCAAGCAUCAUCAGGGAUAGUCAGAGGAAUGACAAAGAUUGCCCGGCCCACCAGAAUGAUAGCAAAGGGUGUUGAAAACCUCCGGUACAACCUCUAUACUUGAUCAAGAUCACCUUGUGGAAUCGGAUGUUACUCCAGCAAACAACAAAGAAGAAGAAAAAAGGAUGCUAGGGUUUGGUAUUGGAACC